GGGCCGUGAGAGCGGAGCCCCAGUUGGGCACUGAGACAAGGGCCCAGGCCUACGGGCGCACCAGGCGCGAAACGUCCCCAAUGCGGGAAACCGUGAGGGCGCUACCCCCAGUGCUCCCGAAAGGGAGCUUUUCCCCGCUUUAAAACGGCGGGGGAAUAAGCGGGGGGCAAGACUGGUGUCAGCCGCCGCGGUAAUACCAGCCCCGCGAGUGGUCGGGACGCUUACUGGGCUUAAAGCGCCCGUAGCCGGCCCUGCAAGUCACUGCUUAAAGACCCGGGCUCAACCCGGGGAAGGGCAGUGAUACUGCAGGGCUAGGGGGCGGGAGAGGUCGGAGGUACUCCCGGAGUAGGGGCGAAAUCCACAGAUCCCGGGAGGACCACCAGUGGCGAAAGCGUCCGGCCAGAACGCGCCCGACGGUGAGGGGCGAAAGCCGGGGUAGCAAAAGGGAUUAGAUACCCCUGUAGUCCCGGCUGUAAACGAUGCAGGCUAGGUGUCGCGUAGGCUUUUGAGCCUACGCGGUGCCGCAGGGAAACCGGUAAGCCUGCCGCCUGGGGAGUACGCCCGCAAGGGUGAAACUUAAGGGAAUUGGCGGGGGAGCACCACAANGGGUGGAACCUGCGGCUCAAUUGGAGUCAACGCCUGGAAUCUCACCGGGGGAGACCGCAGGAUGACGGCCAGGCUAACGACCUUGCCAGACUC
rnacentral:rRNA from 1 species